UCCUAGAUAACUUUGAAUUCUUCUAGCUAAUUUUGUUUGAUCCUAGACGUUAAGCAGGGUCUUGCCUUAGUAAUACUUGGAUGAGAGUCCACCUGGAAUACCAGGUGCUGUAGGCU
rnacentral:rRNA from 1 species